GGAAGGAGAAGUCGUAACAAGGUCUCCGUAGGUGAACCUGCGGAGGGAUCAUUACUGAGUGAGGUCUCCCGACCCGACUCCAACCCCAUGUAUUCCGACUCUGUUGCCUCGGGGGCGACCCUGCCUUCGGGCGUGGGGCCCCCGGUGGACCACACAACUCUGCAUCUUUGCGUCUAAGUAACAUUUUGAAUUAAAUCAAAACUUUCAACAACGGAUCUCUUGGUUCUGGCAUCGAUGAAGAACGCAGCGAAAUGCGAUAAGUAAUGCGAAUUGCAGAAUUCCGUGAGUCAUCGAAUCUUUGAACGCACAUUGCGCCCUUUGGCAUUCCGAAGGGCAUGCCUGUUCGAGCGUCAUUACUCCCUCCAAAUCCCCCCUGGUGUUGGACCGCGUUGGACCGUCGCGGGUCUCAAAGACGGCGUCCAUGGGACCCUCUUCUGAGCUUUCCGGAGCACGCGUCGAGUUGCAAGGUCUCGUGGGCCCGACCUCUAAAUUCAGGUUGACCUCGGAUCAGGUAGGAAUACCCGCUGAACUUAAGCAUAUCAAUAAGCGGAGGA
rnacentral:rRNA from 1 species